CAUCAACGGAUAAAGGGAUCUGAGCAUCAAUUUGAGUGGAGGAUUUCUCAUUUUUCCUAGCUACUAUUACAACCUUUUUCAAUAACGAGAGAUCGAGAUUCAGUGAGAAAGAGCCAGGAGAUGCAGCGAUUGAAUCUGGGGGUUCUCAUGUGGGUUUCAAUCAUGGUCUUAAUUACUGAGGCGACGAUUGGGUUAAUGGCUGGAAUCAGUGGGGGUUUGUUGGUUAUUUGAUUGAAUGGUGCUGAUGUUCAUGGUACAACAACAUCGUGUACAAGACUCAAGGGUUUGCUCUGAACUUAAUUGAAGACCAAAGAAAGGGAUUUGAGGAAGUGGUUGUUGUUGAUACAGAAUUGGGGUUUUUGAUGUGGUACAAGAUUGAAUUUAAGAUGAAGUUCUUGAAGAAAAUUUCUACAACAAUGAAACCAUAGGGAAAUUGCUCAAGUCAGAAACUGGGGUUUGAAUUUGAAGAUGAAUUGAGUCGAUGUAGAUCUAUUGUGUGAAAUCUCGAUUGAGACGAGAAAUUGCAGCAACUGGGAAGUGAAUUACUGCCAUCGAUUCAUCGCUGUUUGGAGCUAUGUUCGGAGCUGAUUGAGCUGAAGAUUAGAUAGUCAGUGAAAGGCAAGCAGUGUUGUUUUGGGGUGAUUGCUGGAGUCGCAGAAUAGUCGUAGUGUUGCAGUCAUGGUUUUUGUGGUUGUUGUAGACAGUUUAGGCAUGAAUGAAGCUGAAAUUAAACAUUGAUUCCAACCGUGGGUGCUAUAAAUGAGUGGGGUUUGUUGUAUGGAGUGAAGGAAUUUGAGAUGCUGGCGUCGGUUGAAUGAUGUUGACAUUGAGCUA